UACGGAGGUGGCGAGCGUUGUCCGAAGUUACUGGGCGUAAAGCGCGCGUAGGCGGGCUCUUAAGUGAGAAGUGAAAGGCUGGGGCUCAACUCCAUGCAGUGCUUCUCAUACUGGGGGUCUUGAGGGCGGUAGAGAGAAGUGGAAUGGCUGGUGUAGCGGUGAAAUGCGUAGAUAUCGCUUGGAACGCCGAAGGCGAAAGCAGGCUGCUGGGCACGAUCUGACGCUGAGACACGAAAGCCAGGGGAGCAAACGGG
rnacentral:rRNA from 1 species